GACGAACGCUGGCGGCGUGCCUAAUACAUGCAAGUCGAACGCACAGUUUAUACCGUAGCUUGCUACACCAUAGACUGUGAGUUGCGAACGGGUGAGUAACGCGUAGGUAACCUGCCUGGUAGCGGGGGAUAACUAUUGGCAACGAUAGCUAAUACCGCAUAAUAUUAAUUAUUGCAUGAUAAUUAAUUGAAAGGUGCAAUUGCACCACUACCAGAUGGACCUGCGUUGUAUUAGCUAGUAGGUGAGGUAGCGGCUCACCUAGGCGACGAUACAUAGCCGACCUGAGAGGGUGGUCGGCCACACUGGGACUGAGACACGGCCCAGACUCCUACGGGAGGCAGCAGUAGGGAAUCUUCGGCAAUGGACGAAAGUCUGGCCGAGCAACGCCGCGGGAGUGAAGAAGGUUUUCGGAUCGGAAAGCUCGGUUGUAAGAGAAGAACGGGUGUGAGAGUGGAAAGUUCACACUGUGACGGUAUCUGACCAGAAAGGGACGGCUAACUACGUG
rnacentral:rRNA from 1 species